rnacentral:misc_RNA from 1 species
UACAGAGGGUGCAAGCGUUAAUCGGAAUUACUGGGCGUAAAGGGCGUGUAGGUGGCUUACCAAGUUGGAUGUUAAAGGCCUGGGCUUAACCUAGGUACGCAUACAAGACUGAUAAGCUAGAGUAUAGGAGAGGGAAGUGGAAUUUCCGGUGUAGCGGUGAAAUGCGUAGAUAUCGGAAGGAACACUCGUGGCGAAGGCGACUUUCUGGCCUAUUACUGACACUGAGGCGCGAAAGCGUGGGUAGCAAACAGG